ACAAGCGGUGGAGCAUGUGGUUUAAUUCGAUGAUACGCGAGGAACCUUACCUGGGCUCAAAUGUAUGUUGACGUAUUCUGAAAGGGAUACUUCUUCGGACAAUAUACAAGGUGCUGCAUGGUUGUCGUCAGCUCGUGCCGUGAGGUGUCGGGGUUAAGUCCCAUAACGAGCGCAACCCCUAUCAUUAGUUGCCAGCAGUUCGGCUGGGCACUCUAAAGGGACUGCCGGUGUUAAACCGGAGGAAGGUGGGGAUGACGUCAAGUCCUCAUGGCCUUUAUGACCAGGGCUACACACGUACUACAAUGGCCGAUACAAAGGGCAGCGACACUGCGAGGUGAAGCCAAUCCCGUAAAAUCGGUCUCAGUCCGGAUUGGAGUCUGCAACUCGACUCCAUGAAGUUGGAAUCGCUAGUAAUCGUGGAUCAGCAUGCCACGGUGAAUACGUUCCCGGGCCUU
rnacentral:rRNA from 1 species